GAUAGCUCAGUUGGUAGAGCAGAGGACUGAAAAUCCUCGUGUCGCUGGUUCGAUUCCGGCUCUAGG
rnacentral:tRNA from 1 species